UGGGGAAUUUUGGACAAUGGGGGAAACCCUGAUCCAGCCAUCCCGCGUGUGCGAUGAAGGCCUUCGGGUUGUAAAGCACUUUUGGCAAGAAAGAAACGUCAUGGGUUAAUACCCCGUGAAACUGACGGUACCUGCAGAAUAAGCACCGGCUAACUACGUGCCAGCAGCCGCGGUAAUACGUAGGGUGCAAGCGUUAAUCGGAAUUACUGGGCGUAAAGCGUGCGCAGGCGGUUCGGAAAGAAAGAUGUGAAAUCCCAGAGCUCAACUUUGGAACUGCAUUUUUAACUACCGGGCUAGAGUGUGUCAGAGGGAGGUGGAAUUCCGCGUGUAGCAGUGAAAUGCGUAGAUAUGCGGAGGAACACCGAUGGCGAAGGCAGCCUCCUGGGAUAACACUGACGCUCAUGCACGAAAGCGUGGGGAGCAAACAGG
rnacentral:rRNA from 1 species